GUGGGUAGUUUGACUGGGGCGGUCUCCUCCUAAAGAGUAACGGAGGAGCACGAAGGUUAGCUAAUCCUGGUCGGACAUCAGGAGGUUAGUGCAAAGGCAUAAGCUAGCUUGACUGCGAGAGUGACGGCUCGAGCAGGUGCGAAAGCAGGUCUUAGUGAUCCGGUGGUUCUGAAUGGAAGGGCCAUCGCUCAACGGAUAAAAGGUACUCCGGGGAUAACAGGCUGAUACCGCCCAAGAGUUCAUAUCGACGGCGGUGUUUGGCACCUCGAUGUCGGCUCAUCACAUCCUGGGGCUGAAGUAGGUCCCAAGGGUAUGGCUGUUCGCCAUUUAAAGUGGUACGCGAGCUGGGUUUAGAACGUCGUGAGACAGUUCGGUCCCUAUCUGCCGUGGGCGCUGGAGAAUUGAGGGGGGCUGCUCCUAGUACGAGAGGACCGGAGUGGACGCAUCACUGGUGUUCGGGUUGUCAUGCCAAUGGCAUUGCCCGGUAGCUAAAUGCGGAAGAGAUAAGUGCUGAAAGCAUCUAAGCACGAAACUUGCCCCGAGAUGAGUUCUCCCUGACCCUUUAAGGGUCCUGAAGGAACGUUGAAGACGACGACGUUGAUAGGUCGGGUGUGUAAGUGUAGCGAUACAUUGAGCUAACCGA
rnacentral:rRNA from 1 species